GAUGAACGCUGGCGGCGUGCUUAACACAUGCAAGUCGAACGGAAAGGCUCCUGCUUGCAGGGGUACUCGAGUGGCGAACGGGUGAGUAACACGUGGGUGAUCUGCCCUGCACUUCGGGAUAAGCCUGGGAAACUGGGUCUAAUACCGGAUAGGACGAUGGUUUGGAUGCCAUUGUGGAAAGUUUUUCGGUGUGGGAUGAGCUCGCGGCCUAUCAGCUUGUUGGUGGGGUAAUGGCCUACCAAGGCGUCGACGGGUAGCCGGCCUGAGAGGGUGUACGGCCACAUUGGGACUGAGAUACGGCCCAGACUCCUACGGGAGGCAGCAGUGGGGAAUAUUGCACAAUGGGCGCCAGCCUGAUGCAGCGACGCCGCGUGGGGGAUGACGGCCUUCGGGUUGUAAACUCCUUUCGCUAGGGACGAAGCGUUUUGUGACGGUACCUGGAGAAGAAGCACCGGCUAACUACGUG
rnacentral:rRNA from 1 species